GAAAUGCGAUACGUGAUGUGAAUUGCAUACUCGUGAAUCAUCGAAUCUUUGAACGCAAAUGGCGCUCGGCCGCUUCGGUGUGCCGAGCAUGUCUGUUUGAGGGUCAGUUUAAUCUGCUUUGGCUCUUUUUUCUUUUGUCACCGACAAAGGGAAAAAACCACCAAGACGAUGCGUGUUCACUUUUCCUGGCACUAGUGAUCAUGUGAAACGGAUGAACAAAUACAGAAAACUCGGGCGAACGUUCCGGGGUCCCGACCUUUUUCACACCGAAAACGGGACCAAACGGAAGCAUCACCGGGCUUUUCCACGAUUGACAAAAUCAUUCCAAAAAAAUGACCUCAAAUCAGGCAAGAGCACCCGCUGAACUUAA
rnacentral:misc_RNA from 1 species